AUCCAGCCGACGAGUACCGAAUAGGAUGAAACGCGCGUCCUGGAU
rfam:Schistosoma margrebowiei strain Zambia genome assembly, scaffold: SMRZ_scaffold0000171